rnacentral:rRNA from 1 species
AUGAUAUCCCCUAACCUAAAUUCAUCUGAUAUAAAUAUUAGUCUAACCCAAGAUCCUAGGGGCUUGUCCCAUCCACCAAAUCCCCUCACCCGCCGCCGCCAGUCCUCUUCCACCUCGGGAUCCCUCCCGAUCCAUUUCACCCAAUCCGAUCGCAGCGGCCACCACUCCUCUCGUUCCCCAUCCGUCCUUCCCGCAGCUCCUCGCAGUCAUCUCCCUCGAGCCCGAGGCCAUGCCUCCUCUGCUCGAUCUCCCCUGCCCAGCGCCUCCUCAACCCUCCUUCUCCUGCCCGAGCCCUGCCUCGUUCCCCUCGUCGCGAGCCAGGGAGAGGAGCUCCCUGCGUUCGCCCACCUCGUGCCGUCCCCGCCGUCUACCACCACAACCAGCAGCUAA